rnacentral:rRNA from 1 species
AGCGGCGAACGGGUGAAAAGAGGCCUUGAUCCGCCCAUCAGACGGGGACAACGAUUGGAAACGAUCGCUAAUACCGGAUAGGACGAAAGUUUAAAGGUGCUUCUGGCACCGCUGAUGGAUGAGCCUGCGGCGCAUUAGCUAGUUGGUAGGGUAAAGGCCUACCAAGGCGACGAUGCGUAGCCGACCUGAGAGGGUGAACGGCCACACUGGGACUGAGACACGGCCCAGACUCCUACGGGAGGCAGCAGUAGGGAAUCUUCGGCAAUGGGCGAAAGCCUGACCGAGCAACGCCGCGUGAAUGAUGAAGGCCUUCGGGUUGUAAAAUUCUGUUAUAAGGGAAGAACGACUUUAUUUUGAAAUGGCUAGAGUGUGACGGUACCUUAUGAGAAAGCCACGGCUAACUAUGUGCCAGCAGCCGCGGUAAUACGUAUGUGGCGAGCGUUAUCCGGAAUUAUUGGGCGUAAAGAGCGCGCAAGUGGUUGAUUAAGUCUGAUGUGAAAGCCCACGGCUUAACCGUGGAGGGUCAUUGGAAACUGGUCGACUUGAGUGCAGAAGAGGGAAGUGGAAUUCCAUGUGUAGCGGUGAAAUGCGUAGAGAUAUUUAUCUAUUCUUUUCUGGCAAACGCCCCUU